rnacentral:rRNA from 1 species
UACGUAGGGGGCUAGCGUUGUCCGGAAUCAUUGGGCGUAAAGCGCGUGUAGGCGGCCCGGUAAGUCCGCUGUGAAAGUCGGGGGCUCAACCCUCGAAAGCCGGUGGAUACUGUCGGGCUAGAGUGCGGAAGAGGCGAGUGGAAUUCCUGGUGUAGCGGUGAAAUGCGCAGAUAUCAGGAGGAACACCGAUUGCGAAGGCAGCUCGCUGGGACGUUACUGACGCUGAGACGCGAAAGCGUGGGGGAGCAAACAGG